GCCCCCGUAGCUCAGCGGAUAGAGCAGGCGGCUUCUAACCGUCAGGUCCCCCGUUCGAGUCGGGGCGGGGGCGCCA
rnacentral:tRNA from 1 species